UUUGAAUAGUAACUGAUCAGGUAGUGACGGUAUCCAACCAGAAAGCCAUGGCUAACUACGUGCCAGCAGCCGCGGUAAUACGUAGGUGGCAAGCGUUGUCCGGAUUUAUUGGGCGUAAAGCGAGCGCAGGCGGUUUCUUAAGUCUGAUGUGAAAGCCUUCGGCUCAACCGAAGAAGUGCAUCGGAAACUGGGAAACUUGAGUGCAGAAGAGGACAGUGGAACUCCAUGUGUAGCGGUGAAAUGCGUAGAUAUAUGGAAGAACACCAGUGGCGAAGGCGGCUGUCUGGUCUGUAACUGACGCUGAGGCUCGAAAGCAUGGGUAGCAAACAGGAUUAGAUACCCUGGUAGUCCAUGCCGUAAACGAUGAGUGCUAGGUGUUGGAGGGUUUCCGCCCUUCAGUGCCGCAGCUAACGCAUUAAGCACUCCGCCUGGGGAGUACGACCGCAAGGUUGAAACUCAAAGGAAUUGACGGGGGCCCGCACAAGCGGUGGAGCAUGUGGUUUAAUUCGAAGCAACGCGAAGAACCUUACCAGGUCUUGACAUCCUUUGACCACUCUAGAGAUAGAGCUUUCCCUUCGGGGACAAAGUGACAGGUGGUGCAUGGUUGUCGUCAGCUCGUGUCGUGAGAUGUUGGGUUAAGUCCCGCAACGAGCGCAACCCUUAUUACUAGUUGCCAGCAUUAAGUUGGGCACUCUAGUGAGACUGCCGGUGACAAACCGGAGGAAGGUGGGGACGACGUCAAAUCAUCAUGCCCCUUAUGACCUGGGCUACACACGUGCUACAAUGGAUGGUACAACGAGUUGCGAGACCGCGAGGUUUAGCUAAUCUCUUAAAACCAUUCUCAGUUCGGAUUGUAGGCUGCAACUCGCCUACAUGAAGCCGGAAUCGCUAGUAAUCGCGGAUCAGCAUGCCGCGGUGAAUACGUUCCCGGGCCUUGUACACACCGCCCGUCACACCAUGAGAGUUUGUAACACCCAAAGCCGGUGAGGUAACCCUUCGGGGAGCCAGCCGUCUAAG
rnacentral:rRNA from 1 species